AGGGUAUAGCUCAGUGGUUGUGUGUGUGCUUAGCAUGCAUGAGGUCCUGGGUUCAAUCCCCAGUACCUCUG
rnacentral:tRNA from 1 species